GAUGAACGCUGGCGGCGUGCCUAAUACAUGCAAGUCGAGCGAACAGACGAGGAGCUUGCUCCUCUGACGUUAGCGGCGGACGGGUGAGUAACACGUGGAUAACCUACCUAUAAGACUGGGAUAACUUCGGGACACCGGAGCUAAUACCGGAUAAUAUAUUGAACCGCAUGGUUCAAUAGUGAAAGACGGUUUUGCUGUCACUUAUAGAUGGAUCCGCGCCGCAUUAGCUAGUUGGUAAGGUAACGGCUUACCAAGGCAACGAUGCGUAGCCGACCUGAGAGGGGGAUCGGCCACACGGGAACUGAGACACGGUCCAGACUCCUACGGGAGGCAGCAGUAGGGAAUCUUCCGCAAUGGGCGAAAGCCUGACGGAGCAACGCCGCGUGAGUGAUGAAGGUCUUCGGAUCGUAAAACUCUGUUAUUAGGGAAGAACAAAUGUGUAAGUAACUAUGCACGUCUUGACGGUACCUAAUCAGAAAGCCACGGCUAACUACGUG
rnacentral:rRNA from 1 species